GAUGAACGCUGGCGGCGUGCCUAAUACAUGCAAGUCGAGCGAACAGACGAGGAGCUUGCUCCUCUGACGUUAGCGGCGGACGGGUGAGUAACACGUGGAUAACCUACCUAUAAGACUGGGAUAACUUCGGGAAACCGGAGCUAAUACCGGAUAAUAUAUUGAACCGCAUGGUUCAAUAGUGAAAGACGGUUUUGCUGUCACUUAUAGAUGGAUCCGCGCCGCAUUAGCUAGUUGGUAAGGUAACGGCUUACCAAGGCAACGAUGCGUAGCCGACCUGAGAGGGUGAUCGGCCACACUGGAACUGAGACACGGUCCAGACUCCUACGGGAGGCAGCAGUAGGGAAUCGUCCGCAAUGGGCGAAAGCCUGACGGAGCAACGCCGCGUGAGUGAUGAAGGUCUUCGGAUCGUAAAACGCUGUUAUUAGGGAAGAACAAAUGUGUAAGUAACGAUGCACGUCUUGACGGUACCUAAUCAGAAAGCCACGGCUAACUACGU
rnacentral:rRNA from 1 species